GUUGAUCCUGCCGGAGAUCACUGUUAUUGGGGUUCGAUUAAAACAUGCGAGGCGUGAGUCUUCUGGACUCGCCGAAUUGCUCAGUAACACGUAGUUAACUUACUCUUAGGUGGAGGAUAAUCUUGAGAAAUUGAGGCUAAUACUCCAUAGAUUUUGGAUGUUGGAAUACGCUAAAAUUGAAAGCUCCGGCGCCUAAGAAUAGGACUGCGACGUAUCAGGUAGUUGUGAGUGUAAUGUACUCACAAGCCUAUAACGCGUAGGGGCCAUGAAAGUGGGGGCCUCGAGAUGCCUUCUGAGACAUGAAGGCAGGUCCUACGGGACGCAGCAGUUGCGAAACCUUUCCAAUUCGUUAGCGCGUGAGAAGGGAACCUCGAGUGGUUAUGCUUAGCAUAACCUUUUCUAAAGUCUAGAUCGCUUUGGGAAUAAGUGGUGGGUAAGACGGGUGCCAGCCGCCGCGGUAAUACCCGCGCCACAAAUAGUGAUCACGUUUAUUUGGUCUAAAGUGUCCGUAGGCGGUUAAGUAAAUUCUUCGUGAAAUCUAACAGCUAACUGUUAGACGGGCGGAGAACACUGCUUGACUUGGGACAGGGAAAGGAUAAGGUAUUCCAUGUGUAGGGGUUAAAUCCUUUAAUCCAUGGAGGACCACCAGUGGCGAAGGCGCUUAUCUGGAACUGGUCUGACGCUGAGGGACGAAAGCGUGGGGAGCAAAACGGAUUAGAUACCCGUGUAGUCCACGCCGUAAACGUUGUCUGUUUGAUUUUGCAGAUCUUACGUGGAUUUGCAGAGUCGGAGCGUAGGUGUUAAACAGACCACCUGGGAAGUACGUGCGCAAGCAUGAAACUUAAGGGAAUUGGCGGGGGAGCACACAAGAGGUGGAGACUGCGGUUCAAUUGGAUUCGACGCCGGAAACCUUACGAAGGUUGACAGCAGUAUGAAGGUCACUCUAAAGGGGUUACCAGACGCGCUGAGAGGUGUUGCAUGGCCAUCGUCAGUUCGUACUUUGAAGCGUGCCGUUAAGUCGGUUAACGAACAAGACCCACACCAUCAUUUGCUACCUUGUUUACAAUUGGUUCGUCCAAUCACUAAGCAAGGGCACUAUGAUGGAACCGCCACUGAUAAAGUGGAGGAAGGCGUGGUCAACGAUAGGUCAGUAUAGCCCGGAUACCUUCGGCUACACGCGGUCUACAAUGGUCAGGACAAUGCGUUGCGACGCUGAAAAGCGGAGCCAAUCGCCUAAACCUGGCCCUAGUUCGGAUUGAGGGUUGCAACCCACCCUCAUGAAGUUGGAAUCUCUAGUAAUCGAAAGUCAUUAUCUUUCGAUGAAUACGUCCCUGCUCUUUGCACACACUGCCCGUCAAGCCAUGGAAAUGGGUUCUUGGUGAGGCUUAGCUUUAACUAAGUCGAGCCAGGGGCCUGUGACUAGGGUUAAGUCGUAACAAGGUA
rnacentral:rRNA from 1 species